UGGUUCCUGACCGCAGCUCCCUUCUAGGAUGGACUCUGAAAGGUGGCAAUGGUGGCUCAAGUAGAUUGGUCCAGCCACUCCGAUGGUAGACCUGGAUUGAGUUCCCAGCUCCCAGCUUCGGUCUGGCCCAGCCCUAGACAUAGUAGACAAUUGGAGAGAAAACUAGCAGCCGCUGUUGCGCCGAUCCGAAGCCAGGAGCCAGGUGCUUCUUCCUGGUCUCCCUUGUGGGUGCAGGGGCCCAAGCACUGGGGCCAUCCUCCACUGCCUUCCUGGACCACAGCAGAGAGCUGGACUGGAAGAGGAGCAACUGGGACUAGAACCCGGUGCCCAUAUGGGAUGCCAACACCGUAUGUGGAGAUUAUCCAAGUGAGCCACGGCGCCGGCCUUUUAAAAGAUGGUAUGUGUAUUUGGGUAUAAAUUUUUAUGGUGUUACUGGUAAUUAUAGAGAGGACCAAGUUCUAACUCCUUGGAAUUACCACUAAGUUUGGCUAUAUGCUCUGGAGAUGCAACCGUCAUCAGUUUGUGGAACAGGCUCUGAACAUAGAGGAAAGACUUUGUGAAUCUCUAAGGAUACCUCUCUUUCCAGGUGCAGAUGAGAUGAAUGAGAAAAGAUACCCUCGAAAGCUCCAUCAAGUGGCAGAGACAAUGUGAACAUAUGAUCUGGGUACCUAUGGCAGCUCUCAAUUGCCGUAGAAGAACAGAUUGAUAGAAACUGAAGGAUUAGAAGUCAGAAAAUAUCUUCGGAAAUGUCUCUUCAUCUCUGAAUAUACUGGUAAGCAUCUAACCUUGGUAGUCAUUUAACUUCUCUGACAGGUAUCUGGAUGUGGUUGGAGCAUAGGAUACAUAGGAGAGAACAAGAAGAGUGGUAGAUAAUGGGCCAAAAACAUUAAAUCAGUCUACUCAUAGGGACUUAUCUUCCACAUUGAGAAAUUUGCUCUUUAUUCUACCAAGCAAUUCUCAUACUGAAAAAAAAAAUCAUACACACACACACACACACACACACACAGUAGUUGUUUUAAAAUAUACCCAUGGGGUAGGCUGUUGGCACAUCAGUUAAAUUUCCAGAUUGGGAUACUUAUAUUCCAGUUUAGAAUGCCUGGUUGGACUCUUGGCUCCUCUACUUUCAGUCCUGCUUAUUGUUAACUCACACCUUGGGAGGCAGCAGAUACAGUUCAAGAGCUUACUUCUUGUCAUACACUUGGUUGACCUGGAUGGACUUCUGGGCUUCUAGCUCUGGUCUGACCUAGUCUUGGUUGUUGUGAUCAGUUAGAGAAUAAAUCAGUGUCUGUCUAUCUGUAUCUCUGCUUAUUUGCCUUUCAAUUAAAAUGAAAAUAAAAUAAAUAAAAUUUAUCCCCUGAAUUUUGGUGAAGUCAGGAAUGGAGAAGGAGAAGUGGGAGUCCAGCAUGCCAUUUAGGAAUUAUUUGUAAUGUUAACAAGACAAAAAAAAAAACUUACUUCUAAGUGCUUUAACUCAUUGAUGGCUCAUAAAAGCUCUCUGGCACAGAUGUUAUUAUUCUUAUUUUACAGACACAAAAUGUGAGGUCCAGAGAGGUUAUAUAAAUUGCCUUUGAUCACACAGCUGGAUGGCUUCAGAGAUCCAACCUUUAACCAUUAUUAUACUGCACCUUGCCUGCAGUCUAGGCAAGGGAACCAGAGGGCCUGAGCUGGGCUAAAACAAGCUAAAAGCAUUAUGAACGCAUACUUUUUAUUUGAGUAUACAUCUUAGACUUGCCAUCUAUCUAUCUAUCUAUCUAUCUAUCUUUUUAUAUCAUUAGUAGCUCCAACACAGGCACUCUGGAUUCUAUGAAUUAUUUUUAUUUUAUUAGGUUUUAAUGGAGCCUUCUUUAGUGUCCAGCAAAUAGCUUAUGCCUGUUUACCAAAUGCAUCACAGUGGUGGGGUCAGAGGCCUCAGUAGACUUUGUCCACUUAUACUAAACACACGACUACCAGGCUUGUUAGGCACGCACACAGCAGUACUCAUUGCUCUUUCCUUUCUCCAUUAUUAUUGAUCAUUUCUCCAGCCUAGAAUGUCCUUUUCACUGUCCCUCUGGAUUUUAUGCAUGUGAAUGUCUUGCUUGAUCUCCAAAGUCCAAAAGUCCAGCUUGCUGAAAGGCAGCUGUUGUUAAAAAACAAAAACAAAAACAAAAAAACAAAAAACCACUUUGCUGUCAUGACCUCUCAUAAGCUCCCCACCAUACCUAUUGUAUUCAGAACAUAGCAGUAUCUUCUAGGUGUUUGAUAUCUGUCUUAUUAUACCUACUAAAUGAUUGGGGCAAACAGAGAAAUCAUAUGAUCAUAUGUAAACAUGAGUUACACACGAGACAAUAUGUAGUAGGGAAAUAAAAUGUCUCAAAGGAUUGUUAACAUUUGGGAAAUGACAAGUGAUGGACUUGAUGGCGUGGAUGGGAUAGCUAUGUGCUUAAGUCAAACGAAGUUUAUCCCACUGGAUUUUCACACAUAGUAUAGUGUUCCAAAUAGAGGAGUGUCUAAUUUUCUCACAGUUGAAAUCUCCUCAGCCUGACAUUCAAAAUCUUUUUUAAAAUUUGCUCCCAAAUUCCCUCUAUUAACUCAUUUUUUAUAACCCUGUAUGAAAAUUCCUCUGUAUCUGCUCCAAACUUGGAGCUUCUGCUCACUAGAUUCUCAGAGAUCUUUGAAUACAGCAGUGCAUGCAGAUACCUCUGCACUGUCAUAACCGUGGCAGACACAUCUAAUUGAUCAAGGCAUGGCAUGGACACAUUUUUAAGAUUUAUCUCAGGGCAGCACUUUAGACAACCACUAAAAAUCAUUCUGAAUUGGACAAUUAGAUUAAGUUCUUUUGCCAAAUUAGCUUACAUGCUUCCCUAGGCUUAAAAUGGCCUACUUCAUCAGACUCCUCUUUAGAAAUCCUGCCAGUUCACAGUCUGCCUGUUCACAUAUGAAACUGCCUUGAUUUUUCUCAGCUCAAGGAGAAUUGUCCCUUCUGAACCAAUGCAGCACAGGUCUGCAACAUUUAGUUGUGGGCUCCCUAGUCAGGCCCCUCACUGUUGCAGUCACACCUUUGUGCCUAACAUUACUUGUAUAUUUCUAGUUUGUGAUGAAAACGCUCCUUAUAUCCGUUGUGAAAUUCACUGAUUCCUGGCACUUAGUAGGAAUUCAAAAGACAUUUGGAAAAGUGAAAUUACUCACUGAUGGGUGGAUAGAAAGGAAAACCCAAAGAGAGAUGGAUAAAGUGCAAUAUAAACCAAAAGGCAAACAGCAUUUGAGGGGAGGGUGGAUUGACAGAGCCAUUAUGCAAGUUAAUUUGUUCAACCCCUUUCCUAGCUUUUGCUAGCUUUCAAUCUGCAUGAACACCUCAUCCUGCAGACAGACAGACAGCUUCAGGGUGGAUUAAAUAAUCAGUCGUGUGAGAACAGCAUCUCCCAAUAUGUCUGCAAAACACUUCUAUUUCAAGAAUGAUUAUUAAAAGCCACAAGGAAGGCAGUGAUAACCCAGUUGAAACAUUGACUUACUGAUCAAAAGAGACACUAAUACGCAGUCCUUAAGGGAAACGGUUAGAUUUAACAUGCAUGCAAGCAAAUCCUCUGCAUUGUCACACAAAAUUACCAUCUCUGAUAUUUUCCUUUGGGCUCACAGUUUCUUGUCUGCCAAUGGCUUUCUUUCCCAUGUGUUUUUUUUUUCUUUGCUUUCUUUCCUUCCUCCUUUCCUCUCUUCAUCUGUUUUGACAAGAUGAUUGUCCUUUGUGUUCUGUGUCUUUUUGCAUCACCCUUUUGUUUUUCCUACAUCUCUUAACAUGUUCGUUUUUUUUUUUAUUACUUUCAGAUAGAUUUUGCUCUUCAAAUGUGCGAGGCUUCCAAAAGCUCACAGAAAAUUUACAUUAUCUUUUAAAAAAUCUUGUUAGAAGGGCAGAGAGAGAGAGAGCGGGAGAAAGAGAUCAAUCUCCCAUCUGCUGGCUCUGGUUCACUCCUCAAAUGCCCACAACAGGCCAAAGCCUGGAACAAAGAACUCAGUUUGGGGUUCCCAGAUGGGUGGCAGGGGCCCAGCUACUUGAGCCAUCAUCUGCUCCUUCUCUUCAUGCGCAUUAGCAGGAAGCUGGAUCAGAAAUGGAGGCAGCACUUGAACCCAGGUAAUUAAUAUGGAAUUCACGUGUCCCAAGUGGCAGCUAAAUCUGCUGUUCUACAACAGCUCACCUCAACACACAGAAUUAUCUUUUAAUUUCACUUUUCCACAAAUUUAUUUUUCUAAAGAUUUAUUUUCAUUUGCUUGAAAGUCAGAGUUACAGAGAGAGAGGAAGAAAGAAAAGGAGAGAGAGAAAGAAAGAGAUAUCUUCCAUCCUCUGGUUCACUCUCCAAGUGACCACAAUGGUUGAGACAGGACUGAGCUAGGCUGAAAGCUAGGAGCCUGAAACUCCAUCCUAGUCUCCACCACAGGUAGCAGAGGCCCAAGCAUUAGAGACGUCAUCUGCUGCCUUCCCAGGUGUAUUAACAGGGAGCUGGAUUAGAAGUGGAGCUGUUGGGACUGGAAACAGCACCCAUCUGGGAUGCUGGUGUCAUAGGUGGCAGCUUAACCUACUGCAUCACAAUGCCAGCCCUUAGAAUUAUGUUCUUAAUGUGCAUAUAAUAUAAAGGGAGAAUUUUAACCGUGUAUUAAAUUUUACAACAAAGAUACAUAAAUACAAAUGGACAAUUAUUGCAGGUGUGUAAUAUUAAUGAUAUAUAGCAAAAAUAUCCAAAAAGUACAUCAAAUACUAAUAAUACGUGAGUACUGGAGCUAUGAUUUUUUUCUUUAGUUUUUAUUAAUUUCAAAAUAUGUAUAAACUGAGGGCUAGCCCUGUGGUUUAACGGGUUAAGCUGCUGCCUGCAGUGCUGGCAUACCAUAUAGAUGCCAGUUUGAGUCCCAACUGCUCCACUUCCAAUCCAGCCCCCUGCUAAUGUGCCUGGGAAAGCAGUGGAAGAUUGCCCAAGUCCUAGGGCCGCUGAACCCAUGUGAGAGACAAGGAUGAAGCUCUUGGCUCCUGGCUUCACAAUGGCCCAGCUCCAGCUGGUGCUGCCAUUUGGGGAAUGAACCAGUAGAUGGAAGAUCUCUCUCUCUGCCUCUGCCUCUCCCUGUCUGUAACUCUGCCUUUCAAGUAAAAUAAAUACAUUUUUUAAAAAUGUUUAAAUGAAAUCUAUUAUUAUUAUAGAAGCAUUUCUUAAUUAAGUACAGUCUGGGUGGACUUGAGUUUAAUACCUUUUUUUUUUUUUUUUGGUUUGACUACAUUUAUUUUUCUCUCUAAAUCUAAAUUUCCACAUUGGUAAAAAACACGUGUGUAGAAUGUACCUGGAACAGAGGAAGAUUCUUCAGUGAUUACUUUCAGUACAACAUAAGAACACGGAGCCACUGCCACUGGGUUGCCUAUUUUACCUCAAUGCAAAUUCAGUCUUUGUAAUCCCCUAUAUUUCUAAUUUACUACCAGAAUAUGAGUACCAGUCCAUUUUCUAAGACUGAUAUCUUCUGCAACAUACUUUCAUUUCUACAUGGCAGGUAGAAGGGGCAGCAAGUUGGUAAGCACUCCUAAUUAAAAUGCAUGAUGCUGCAAAUGUAAAAGGGACAGUGAACCAUAAGCAAAUUGCCUGACAGUAGCUGACAGUCAUUGACUGGACAGACUUUUUGCAUUGAGUACAGAAAAGAUAUCUUUUAAAAGAUGUACACAGAUGCAGCAGACUCUUCCAAGUUAACUCUUUGUUUACUUUUUAAAAAAUAAUUAAUUGGUAACUAAUUGAGAGAAAGGGAGAGAGCAAGUAGAGAAAGAUCACCCCAACUCACUGGUACAGUCUCAAAACACCUGCCAUGGCCAGGGUCAAAGAUAGGAGUCAGAGACUCAAUUCAGGUCUCUGAAGUGACAGAAAUGCAAUUACUUGAGCCAUCACUGUUUCCUUCCAAGGUCUGCACUAGCAGCAAUAUUGAGUCAGGGUUUGGAGCCAGGCAUCAAAUCCAAGUACCUUGACAUGGGAUGCAGAAGUCUUAACCACAAGGAUUUAUUUCUAAUGGAAACUCUGCCUCCAAUUCAGUAGUAUUCAAGUGACAGUUGAAUACUCAUACUCCCUCUCAUUCUCUCAGGAACCUGUGUUAUAUACAAUUUUAAAAUCAAUUUUCAGGAAAAAAUAAGCUUAGAUUUAUUUUUACAUGUUUUUAUGUUUUUUAAAAAAAGAUUUACUUAUCCAAAAGGCAGAAACACAGAGAUAAGGAGAAAGGGAAAGAGACAGAGAUAGAUUUUCCAUCCACUGGUUCACUCCCCAAAUGGCUGCAAUGGACUAUAGCUGGGCUGAUCUGAUGCCAAAGGGCUGGAGCUGGGCUGAUCUGAAGCUUGGAGCCAGGAGCUUCUUCUGGGUCUCCCAUGGGGGUGCAGGGGCCAUCUUCUGCUGGUUUCCCAGGUGCAUUAGCAGGGAGCUGGAUCAGAAAUGCAGCAGCUGGAACUCAAACCAGAACCUAUAUUGGGAUGCCGGCACUGCAGGCAGAGGCUUCACCUUCUAUGCCACAGUGUAGGCUCCCCUAUCUUUAUAUGUUUUUAAGUAUUAGAUGUUAGUAAUCCCACCCUUUCAGAGCUGGAGGGGCACUUAGAGAUCACUGAGGUCACUGAAUCAUUUUGCCAAUGUAUCACCUGAGAUCUGUCUAGUAUCACACAGGGAAUUGGGAAGUGUUGGGCUUUGGCACAGGCCUCUUGUGCCCUCUACUUUCUACUUAGCAAGGAAGCAUAACUGCUCAGAAGCAAAAUUCAAAUCCAGCUUACUUACUCCAGCUCAAAGACCUUUCAUUUUAUGCAUGUCCUAAAAUCAUCCUUUAAUUAGUUCAUUGGGAAAAAAGACAAAUGGUUUUGCAAUACUUAUGAUAUAUAUUUACUGCGAUGAUUCAGAUAUCAACAGUUUUUGAGCUCCUUCUGGAUAGC